UGAAAAGAUUGCAAGCACAGUAUGGAAAAUGAGUGGUAUUGCUAGUUUGAGCAAAGGAUGAAAACUGAUGACAAAUUAAAGGGUGCUGUACAAAAAUGUCAUUUGCAAGAAAAACUUGUGAGAAUGAACUUCCAGAUAUCAUCACAAUAUCCGGCCUCUUGCAACCAAUUUGACAGCAUCAACUCUUGCCAAAAUGCACUGGGAAGUUUUGCCCUGUGUUGCUUACAAUCCAGAUUUAUUCCGCCAGUGAUAAUUUGUUUGGAUCCCUCAAAAAGCUUUCCUCCCAGAUGAUUCUAGAAAGACAUCUUGCAAUGGCUACAACAGUAGUCCAGCUCUUUAUACCAAAGGAAUCUGGCAACAAUGCUUGAAUGCACACGCGAAUACUUUGAUGCCUGUCGGACUUUCAAUUCUCUGUGUAGAAAAGUCUUGAUCAACAUUGAACAACCCUUGUACAAAUUAUCAAAAUUUAUUGGUUGGAGACCCUAAAAUUCAGUUUUCAUUUCUCU
rnacentral:lncRNA from 1 species